CUGAGUCCUUUAUCCAUUAAUUCCCAAUUUCCUUGGAAAUCAGGGAAAACGCGGGAUUAGAGGCGUUUUCCCGGGAUAAAACGAGGUGAGGGGGGUCGUGGGCUUCCCAGAAAAUGCUGGAUGUGUGUUUAAAUCCCAACUGCUUCCUGCAUGGAAUCUGAUCAAAGGGAUUGCUGGGAAUUCCGGGCACAAAUUCCGGGUCGCCCGAAUUGUGGGAAUUCUCACUCCAGCUGCUCUUUUUCCCGGGGUUUUCCCAAGCUGGAAUCGCUUUGCUGGAAGCCCUGGAGCGUUUCUCCUUCCUGGGAUUUCCUUGGAAUUGCCGUGGGAUCCGACUCCAAGGGCGGGACAGGAGGUUCCCUGUGCUCCCGGUUCCGUAGGGAUCGUGGGUCUCCAGGCUGGGAAUUCCUGGAUCCCGGAGAGCCCAGGAAUUCCUGGCGUGUUUGGAGCAGGGAUUUGGUUGUGGGACUUUUGCCUUAUGGAAAAAAAUUCCAUGUGAGCCGAGGGAAUACUUGGAUCAGAGCCUGUGUCCUUCCCUGCCGGACACAUCCCUGCAGCUUUUCCUGGGAAUGUGGGGCUGGUCCCUUCUGUUCUUCCAGGCUUUUCCCUGGUGUUCCCUGGAUGGGAAUGUGGGAUGGAGGAGCCUUGGAGUCUCCUCUCAUUCCUGCUCUUCCCAGAGCUCCAGUCUGGGCAAUAAGUGUUCCCUUUCCUGAAGAAUUCCUGGAGAUAAACGGGAAUAACUGUUCCUCCUCCUGUGUGUUCUUCUGCUGGAGCUCUCCCUGUUGUGUUGGUGGCAUUCCAGGAUCUGGGAUUCCAGGAUCUGGGAUUCCUUGCUGGAGAAGGGAGAGGGCAGGUGGUUCACACCCCCCUUGGGUUGGAAGUCGGGGAUUCCCAUGGAAUUCACCCCAUUCCCAGGAAAAAGGCUCCCCAGCUUCCUCAUUCCUGCUGCUGCAAUUCCAGGGGUUUCCCGUGGGUUGGUGUUGCUGAAAUCCAAUUUGUUUUCCAUUGGAAUCCUGGAAUGGUUUGGGUGGGAAGGGA
rnacentral:lncRNA from 1 species